AUACGUAGGGUGCAAGCGUUAAUCGGAAUUACUGGGCGUAAAGGGUGCGUAGGUGGUUUAGCAAGCCAGAUGUGAAAGUCCUGGGCUUAACCUGGGGAUGGCAUAUGGGACUGUUAGGCUAGAGUACGAUAGAGGGGGGUAGAAUUCCACGUGUAGCAGUGAAAUGCGUAGAGAUGUGGAGGAAUACCGAUGGCGAAGGCAGCCCCCUGGGUUGAUACUGACACUGAGGCACGAAAGCGUGGGGAGC
rnacentral:rRNA from 1 species